rnacentral:rRNA from 1 species
GACGAACCGUACGAACGUUAUUCGGAAUCACUGGGCUUAAAGGGUGCGUAGGCUGCGCAGCAAGUUGGGUGUGAAAUCCCUCGGCUUAACCGAGGAACUGCGCCCAAAACUGCUGUGCUCGAGGGAGACAGAGGUGAGCGGAACUUAGGGUGGAGCGGUGAAAUGCGUUGAUAUCCUAAGGAACACCGGUGGCGAAAGCGGCUCACUGGGUCUCUUCUGACGCUGAUGCACGAAAGCUAGGGGAGCAAACAGG